GAUAAACGCUGGCGGCGCACAUAAGACAUGCAAGUUGAACGGACUUAAUCGAAAUAUUUCUAUUUUGAAGCGGUUAGUGGCGGACUGGUGAGUAACGCGUAAGGAACCUGCCUAUUAGAGGGGAAUAACAGUGAGAAAUCAUUGCUAAUACCGCAUAUGCCAUAGAUAUCACAUGAUAACAGUGGGAAAGGAGCAAUCCGCUAAUAGAUGGCCUUGCGUCUGAUUAGAUAGUUGGUGGGGUAACGGCCUACCAAGUCGACGAUCAGUAGCCGGACUGAGAGGUUGAACGGCCACAUUGGGACUGAGAUACGGCCCAGACUCCUACGGGAGGCAGCAGUCGGGAAUAUUGCGCAAUGGAGGAAACUCUGACGCAGUGACGCCGCGUAUAGGAAGAAGGUUUUCGGAUUGUAAACUAUUGUCGUUAGGGAAGAGAAAGGACAGUACCUAAGGAGGAAGCUCCGGCUAACUACGUG
rnacentral:rRNA from 1 species